GGAUAAUUGCUCCAGUUAUGUGCAAUUAGCUGAAUAUAACUUUGCAUCUCACUCCUAUACCCAGUCAUUAUCCGCUUUGAAUUCAGGCAGCUCCACUAUGAUAAACAGCGAGGUAGACGAACGCUCCCACAGCGCACGGAUGGCUCGACCGCUCGGUAAGAAUAAUAUCACUCUUCUGUUGGCGUAAAAAAUGUCAUCGAUGAUUUCUGGGUCUUUUUCUCUCUCUUCUUCUCUCUGCCAAGCCUGCUCAGAUUGAAAAAGAGCUCUGAUAUUUUAAGCCUGUUAACCUAUGAAAUGAUUGAUCACCACAUUUAAGUCUGUUUCAUUUUUAAUCACCGCUCCAAUGAUGUAUUUAAUGGGCCCGGACCCUGAUGAAGAUGCCUGUUAAAUAAGGUGGGAGUCGGGGGAGAAGGAGGGGGAAGUCUAUGAGCGGCACUUCCUCCCUCCACCCUCUCCUCUUCAUCAUUUCUCAGAUAUAUGAUUUCAGUAAAAAAAGAAAGCCUCACUCAUGAAUAUUUUUGUAUAACUAAUGGAUCAGUGACUGUGUGGAAUAUAAAAGCAUUCAGUCAGAUUGAUGAAUAGAAACGGCCUCCAAUAGCCAGGUCCAUUAUUUCAGAUUCCUUGAAUCCUGUGCAGUUUAUAUUACCAUUUUCUCCCUGCUCUUCAUCUUCCUCUCAAACGUCGUCAGUCUCUGCUUCUCUUGGUGAAUUACUGUCACUGGCAGAACAGCACGAAACCAGCAGACCCAAACUGAGUGAAGCAUCCGCUGCUGCCAACUAAGGCCUGAUAUAACCUUUACGAACUGAGACCCAAUCCCAGGGAAGCAUGUGUCUGCAGAACACGCGGCUGCAUAUUCAGGACUGCAGUUUUAGGCCUUCAGUUCAAAUGUUGUGUUAACACCAGCAUGAAUAACUCGCUAAAUUCAUGUGCUGUAUUCGAUACACACAUGUAUGCAGAGAACGGUUUUCUUCAUGAUAUUUACCUCCGCCAAGGAGGUUAUGUUUUCGGUAGCGUUGGUUUGUUUGCCUGUUAGCAACAUUACGGAGAAAGUUACAGACGGAUUGACCUGAAAUUUUCACCAGUAUAUGGACUGUGCUUUCCAACUGCUGCUCCAUCACUAAAUCGCUCUAUACUGCUGUGUUUUUUGUUUUUUUUUCUUUAUCAUGUGAAAUAUCACCAUCUGGUCUAGUGUUUUUGUGUUGGUUUUUUUUAACUACUUCUACAUUGUUGUGUGGGCAGGAGUUUUAUUAAGAACAGAGGGAACAAAAAGUGUGUCCUUUUUUCUUGUGUGGACAAAGCGUCAACCUCAACGCAAACCUUUGAGCCUCUAUUUGUAAAACAUAUCCAAGUGAGCACCCUGACAAAGGCAACAGCUCAAGGGUCCUAGAGUUGGGAACAGAUAAAUAGAAAUUUUCAUCAACAACCUUUUAUUCCUGCCUGAAAUAAGAGGAUAACUAAAUGAAAACGCAUUAGAACAACAUUUAGACAAAAUCUACCUGCACUUCAGUUAAUGACUAAGAACAAGAAGACGAUGUUCAGCAGGACAAAAUUCAAUCAGCCCAAACCCAGAUAUGAGCAAGGGUGGAAGGAGCUAAGAGGAGAUCUAUUUAGGACUGUGCUCUGUUGCCAGUUUUUCAACAACAAGCUUAAAACUUCACUGACUUGAGCACAAAAGAUAGACUCAUUUAUUGAUAAAAUGGAGAAACUCCAUCUCUGGUGAUAAUGAAUUUCAGUGGACCUCUUUGAGUUCAGUUGGCCCAGAACCAAACAGCAGACAGCCAAACACUGUUAGUGACCAGCUGGUAAAUGUAUCUGAACAGAGCGCACCUGAAGGGACAGAUGUUUCCAAAAGGAGCUAAAAGAAACCUGACAACAGUUUAGAGAUUGGCUAAUAUUGGACUUAUUAUCAACAAAUGGAUGGAAGCAUGACUCCAGCUGAUCUGCUGUCCCAUGAGGCCAAAAACAGAAUCAUAAUCACAUGUUAUGUCUUCACAGGAAUUAUUCAGUUUCAAACACCAGAAUGUGUCUGAUAAAUCCUCUUUUUUAUUAUUAACUUCAGAAAAAAGUCAAAGAAUCUUUUUGCUUGAAUCUGUAUUUAAUGUUAUAGUUUUUUAUUUUUAUUUUUUAGUAUUUUUUUUUUUUUUCUCAAAGAAAUAGUAAAGUUUUGAGUUAUGGAGCAGCAGUAUGUGGCUGUAGUUUAGCUUUUUCAGCAUCAAACUCAUUUAAAUCAUUUAUUCAGAUUGCUGUGUCUUCAGUGUUUGAAGGUUGAACUAAAUUGAAUGUGACCAUGGCGAGCCUUUUAGGGAUACGGCUCACAAAGAGCCAAUAGUAGCAGAGGCGGAUAUUAAGACUCUGUCCUCCUCUCUCUCUCUCUCUCUCACACACACACACACACACACACACUCACAGAGAGAGAGAGUCCUUGGUGGAUAAAGGGGAGAGGAGAACCUAAUGGUGCAUUGCAGGUGUGGUUUCAACAAUCCAUUUGUCAGGAGAGGCAUUCAAUUAGUGCAAGGAGCCACCGGACCAACAUGACCGUCUGCUCGCCUUGUUCCUGUGCACGUUCACUCAGCAUAAUGUCUGUUUGCGCUCAUGUUUCCAUGUGUGAGGAGUGUUUGUGACUCUGUUGAGAUAUCCAGUUACAUUUGCGUGGCUUAAGACUAAAAGUGACGCACUAUUUUUCGUAUAUGUGUCCUUGGCAUGUGACCUUCAGCAGGGUCUUUUAAAAAAAAGAAUACAACAAACAACACCUAGGUAAGUUUACAUUGAGGUCGGUUCAUGCUGCUGGGUAAUGGCAAAAAUUAUCACCAUCAUGAUGUUCAAUGAAUAUGAAUGUUAUUGCAAUCACAAUUAUUCCUUGUCCUGCUUCUCUCCCUGCUCUCCUCUCUCUACUUACAGCCACAUGAUAGUUUGUAUUUCUGAAGCACAACAUGCUAAAAAUUCAGUGGCCAAUGGUUAAAGGUCCCAUAUUAUACUCCUUUUCAGCAGGUUCACAUUGGUCUCAGAGGUCCCAGAACAGUCCAUUGGAAGUUUGUUCCCUAAAAACCCAGUUUUUUCCUGGACUUCAGCCAGCCUGAAAACUCUCGAGUGAGCUCUACCAAGAACAUGCUGUUUCUGUGUGCUGCACCUGUCCACGCCUCCUCCAGUGCAAACCCCCCCAGUUACAUCUCUGCUGUCUUCCUGUUACUUAAAUGUGCAAUAUUGUACGUAUAGUUAUCCCUUGUAACUAUGUUUUUGCAGUCUACGGAAACCGACUUCUGUGCUGCUUCGUGCAGCCAACAACAGAGCAGGGGGUUGUAGACAGGCUGGGGAUGCAUAUUAUUGUUGGAAAACCAUUCUAAAGUGAAUUUUGCAUAAUAUGGGACCUUUUAUGUUAGCAGGAUCUGCAACUUCUUUGCUCUCCAAAACUUUGUUAACCAUUGAUCUGAGGUAAACAUGCUCUCAAACAAACAUCAGUAUGCAGAUGACACUCAGAUUUACCUUCAUCUUUGACAAAGUGUCUCCUCUGAGUUUUUCAAGUACACCAAGUAAAUGGGUGAUUAAUUAAGGCUAAGGUACUUGAGUUUGACAAAAGCAGGCUCUAAUGAUGACUGAUUUAUUUAUUUACAAGAUCGGCAGAAACAGCUGUGUGAAUAAAGAUACAUCAAGGUCCACCUAUUAAAAAAAAGAAGUCUUUCUGUGAGUCUGAUUCAGGUUUCAGUGCCUCAUCUUCUCCUCUACACAAAAGCUAAAAACAAACUGCCUUUUCUCAGAUUUCUGGCAGGUUUCCUUGCUUUUCAGUUUUCAAUAUGCACAAAAAAACAGGUGGAGAAAAACGCACUGAAUCCACCUUUGUGUUUUCUUAUAAUAACAAAUGACUGGCUUUCACACGUACUUUCUUCUUCUCCCUUUGUUUCCAUCUCACCAGCGUGCUCUUUUUCUGCAUCCUCUUUCCAAGUCCGGCUCGGUAAACAACUUUUAUUGGC
rnacentral:lncRNA from 1 species